CUAGCUGGUCUGAUAGGAUGAUCAGCCACACUGGAACUGAGACACGGUCCAGACUCCUACGGGAGGCAGCAGUGGGGAAUCUUGGACAAUGGGGGCAACCCUGAUCCAGCCAUGCCGCGUGUGUGAAGAAGGCUUUCGGGUUGUAAAGCACUUUCAGUGAGGAGGAAAACUCUGCGACUAAUACUCGUAGGGCUUGACGUUACUCACAGAAGAAGCACCGGCUAACUCCGUGCCAGCAGCCGCGGUAAUACGGAGGGUGCGAGCGUUAAUCGGAAUUACUGGGCGUAAAGCGCACGUAGGCGGAUCAGAAAGUUGGGGGUGAAAUCCCGGGGCUCAACCCCGGAACUGCCUCCAAAACUCCUGGUCUUGAGUUCGAGAGAGGUGAGUGGAAUUCCGAGUGUAGAGGUGAAAUUCGUAGAUAUUCGGAGGAACACCAGUGGCGAAGGCGGCUCACUGGCUCGAUACUGACGCUGAGGUGCGAAAGUGUGGGGAGCAAACAGGAUUAGAUACCCUGGUAGUCCACGCUGUAAACGAUGUCUACUAGCCGUCGGGGUCCUUAGUGACUUUGGUGGCGCAGCUAACGCGAUAAGUAGACCGCCUGGGGAGUACGGCCGCAAGGUUAAAACUCAAAUGAAUUGACGGGGGCCCGCACAAGCGGUGGAGCAUGUGGUUUAAUUCGAUGCAACGCGAAGAACCUUACCUACACUUGACAUGCAGAGAACUUUCCAGAGAUGGAUUGGUGCCUUCGGGAACUCUGACACAGGUGCUGCAUGGCUGUCGUCAGCUCGUGUCGUG
rnacentral:rRNA from 14 species